rnacentral:rRNA from 1 species
UACGGAGGGUGCAAGCGUUAUCCGGAUUCACUGGGUUUAAAGGGUGCGUAGGCGGGCUAAUAAGUCAGUGGUGAAAGCUCCGAGCUUAACUUGGAAACUGCCAUUGAUACUGCUAGUCUUGAAUGUCGUAGAGGUAAGCGGAAUGUUGCAUGUAGCGGUGAAAUGCUUAGAUAUGUUACAGAACACCGAUUGCGAAGGCAGCUUACUAUGCGAUGAUUGACGCUGAGGCACGAAAGCGUGGGGAGCAAACAGG